rnacentral:rRNA from 1 species
AUGCGCUGCCAGGGUGGGAAGAAAGUGACAGGGGAUCGAGUCCGACCGAGGACCGAAAUUGCCAAGGGCCAGUACUGGGCGCCGGCGCACCGGCCGAAUUUUCGACCGGUCAUAGUGCAGCCAUUCGAUUUGAUUGCAUUUGACCGUCAGAUAUGGGUCUCGAAUCGUUUUCUUCCAGACAAAAUCCCAUCCAACAAAAAACAGAAAGGAAAAAAAGUCAAAAAAAGCAACGGCGCCAAACACUUGCCAUGGAUGGCCGAGGCAACAAACCUUGAAGCACCACCGCCGGGCGCCGCCAUCACCGCCGGUCGCCGCGUGUCGCCGCCCUCGCCGUUUGGGUUUCUCGCCGACUCCACGCAUGCAAGAACCUGCACUCGUGGUUGCAUCUCUGGUGGAGAUGGUCGCAGCUCCGGUGACGACGGCCACCGGCCACAACAAUCUCCGUCGAGCUCGGCAUCUCGUGCUGUACCUCACCCUCACUUUGCUGGUCGUAACAAAAAAUCCCACCGGUUGUAG